rnacentral:rRNA from 1 species
UACGUAGGGGGCAAGCGUUGUCCGGAUUCAUUGGGCGUAAAGAGCGUGUAGGCGGCCAGGUAGGUCGGUUGUGAAAACUGGAGGCUCAACCUUCAGAGGUCGACCGAAACCAUCUGGCUAGAGUCCGGGAGAGGAGAGUGGAAUUCCUGGUGUAGCGGUGGAAUGCGCAGAUAUCAGGAGGAACACCGAUGGCGAAGGCAGGUCACUGGGCCGCAACUGACGCUGGAGGAGCGAAAGCAUGGGGAGCGAACAGG